rnacentral:rRNA from 1 species
GAUGAACGCUGGCGGCGUGCCUAACACAUGCCAGUCGAACGGAGAUUACGGACGGAAGUUUUCGGAUGGAAGACUGUAAUUCUUAGUGGCGGACGGGUGAGUAACGCGUGGGCAACCUGCCCUAUACAGGGGGAUAGCAGCUGGAAACGGCUGGUAAGACCGCAUAAGUCGGCGAGACCGCAUGGUUUUGCCGGGAAAUGAGCAAUCAGGUAUAGGAUGGGCCCGCGUCCGAUUAGCCAGUUGGCAGGGUAAAAGCCUACCAAAGCAACGAUCGGUAGCCGGACUGAGAGGUCGGACGGCCACAUUGGGACUGAGACACGGCCCAAACUCCUACGGGAGGCAGCAGUGGGGGAUAUUUCACAAUGGAGGAAACUCUGAUGCAGCGACGCCGCGUGAGUGAAGAAGUAUUUCGGUAUGUAAAGCUCUAUCAGCAGGGAAGAUGAUGACGGUACCUGACUAAGAAGCCCCGGCUAACUACGUG